UACAGAGGUCUCAAGCGUUGUUCGGAAUCAUUGGGCGUAAAGCGCACGUAGGCGGUUCGUUAUGUCGGAUGUGAAAGCCCUUGGCUUAACCGAGGAAGUGCAUCCGAAACUGGCGAGCUAGAGUACGAAAGAGGAUCGCGGAAUUCCCGGUGUAGAGGUGAAAUUCGUAGAUAUCGGGAGGAACACCGGUGGCGAAGGCGGCGAUCUGGGUCGAUACUGACGCUGAGGUGCGAAAGCGUGGGGAGCAAACAGG
rnacentral:rRNA from 1 species